rnacentral:lncRNA from 1 species
CCCCGGACACCUCUAGUUCCUUCCCCUCCUGGAAGACAGGGGGGCGGGCGGGCACUUACCGGAGGUGAGCUGCAUCCAGGCACAGAUUUUGUAGACGGUGGCCGUGUUGCAGAAGAAGAAGAGAGUAAAGCAAACGAUGCAUGCGAUGAUGAGCAUCAUGGAGAGCCCGAUGAAGAAGGAGGCAGCUUUGAAGGCGCUGGAGGGCAGGGUGGAGAAGUCUGUAAAGCUGCCCCGGCAGGUCAGUUCCCUGGAGAAGCCGUUCCCGAUGCAGUAGUGGAAAAGCCCGAAAUAGCCUGCUUGAGGAGUGUCCACGCCGUCCCCGAUCCAGUAGGGCUGGAUGAAGCACACCACGUUGACGAUGGCAAAGCAGAUGGUGAAGAUGGCCCAGAGCACGCCAAUGGCCCGGGAGUUCCGUACAUAGUUGGUGUGAUAGAGCUUAGCAGCCUCCUGAGCUGGGAGCAUAGCGGCGGCGGCGGCGGCUGCUGCUGCUGCUCCUGGCAUUCUCCUCCUCCACCACCACCGCCACCUCCUCUUCCUCCUCCUCCUCCUCUUCCUCCCCCUCCCCUCACCUCUUUAUGCACAGGAGGCGCACGCACACACACACAUACACACACAUACACACACGGAGUAGCGCUGUACCUCCAAUGCUCCAGCCUCAGCCUAGCAGCGCCAGUUUCAGAGUCUGCAUCCUCCCUCCCGGAAGGAGACAGGGGGGAGGGCUCAGCAUCCCCGCUUUUGCUCACCCUGAUCUUCCUCCUGUCCUCCUGCUUCUCCAGCCCAGCUCACCACCACUCCAGCCCCCCCAACCCCCACCUCGGUUUUCUCCACUCCGCUUUUCUCUGACUCCAGCUGCCCGCGGCUGUUGCUCCCGCAGCUGAUGCUGCUGUUGCUGCAGCUGCUGCAGCUGCUGCAGCAGGAGGUGGCAAAUCCGCUGCUGGGCAAUAAGGCGCUAGGCUCGAAUUGCCCAGGAAAGCUACGGGGCCAUGGGGCUUGGGUUACGCCGGAGCCGGAGCGGCAGCACGAGAAAGCGCGCGCCGGGGCGAGCUGCUAGUAGAACGAACCCCUCGCGCUCGCGGCAGGCCCGGGGACGCCACUCACGUGGCAGACAGAAGCGGGCAGGAGAAACUGCUCCCGGAGCAGUGUAG